CUAGACCCGUCCGGGAGCGCGCUCUGCUUUCCCGGUUGGUUGGCUGCCCGGUUGCUGCCUCCCGGCAGCAUCUUUUACAACCUCUGGUUCCUUCCUAUUCAAGCUCCAAGGCCAGUCUCACAGGCGCGGUAUCUGUUCUUGGUUUCCGCAAUCAACUUCGGGCUCGGCAGCUCCAUGGUCCUCUGCUAGGUUUUCUGCAGCUCCUAUCAAAAUACAAAACCUACACUCAUCGCACUGAAGCGUCUUUCGCACCUGCUCCCCAACCCCUAAACUAAUUGCCUAGCUAACCUAGUGCGACGACCCACCCAACAAAGUAAGAUACCAGAACACUUCGUGCCAAUAAAGCACUGGGUGCAGAGUCUGACAUAUAGCAGAUUUAAACAAAUGAUUGUCCAGUCCACUUUCCUUUCAAUAAAUUUGUCAACCCAUGUCUCCC